AAACUUGUAAAUGAACUUAACCAUAUUGACUUAAAAUUUCAAAAGGACAAAAAUAACUAACACUCAUUCAAACUCUUUUAGGACCUUUAUGCCUCUUUUAAUUUUUUUUUGUUAAAAGCAAUCCACUCAUUUUGAAUUUGUUACCACGAACUACAAGGUUUUGAUCCCUCGUUUUAUGUUGGUACGUAGGCAUAAGUCUGAAGGUCUUGUCAAACACAAAAAUAUAAUUAAUGAAUUCUUUUCUCACCCUCCAUACUCUACUUUUUCUCAAACAUCAU
rnacentral:lncRNA from 1 species